AGCCACACAAUAUGUUUUAUUCUAUAAUGAACUCAACCCAAAUUAUUUCCCAACCCUUUCCAACCCCAGCUGUGCUUGCACAAGUAUCGGCAAGGCUGUGCUGCAAACCUGCAAGAGCACCCCUGCUCCCCAACACAUUGCUUGAGCUGAGUCAAAGCCUACGAACCCAAAAGUGAGCCCCCCCAAACAGCUAUAAAAAUACAAGGGAAGAAAGAGCCAAGUGUGGCAGCUGAUGGGAAGGGCCUGGGUAACUGUGUGGUGGCUGAGUCCAUGCUUGCUUCCUGGGCAAGGGGACUGUGUUGCUGGCUUGGUGCUCCUUGUCCACAGAACGCUCCUCGCCUCUCGCAGCCCUUCCAGCAGGGAUUUAUCAGCUGAUCCAUGGUCAGUCUGGACCGUUGGAGAGGGCAUGAACCAAACCAAGCAGCUCGCAGUGGCUCUCGAGGCUGGAAAAUUCCCUCGCUCCUGAGGCUGGUUGCUAAUAAAAGCCAAUGGAUGCAAAAGGUUCAGCGAGGGUUUAUUGCUCUGCCAUGGCAGGGGCUGGAAAGGCAGCAGGCUUUCACCCCCAACCACCUGGACUGGCCGCUCAUCCCUUGCCCACAUGGUCCUUCCCUGCUCCAGGAGCCGGAGUGCUUCACAUGUUGGCUCUCUCCCGCUGCAGCCGAGAGUUGUAGGCUCGGGAAACCGUGUUCCAGGCGUCCAUGUACCGGUCCAUGCACAUGGCGAUGCACUUCUGCGGGACACGGAGCUCUCAGCGGCUGCCCCGGGGUCCGGCCCCGCGGCUCCCGCUUCCCUCCUACCCGCGACCGCGCUCACCUGCUCCGAGUUGUCCAGCGCUCCGCCGGGCUUCCCGAUGCACUUCCGAAAGCACUUGUCCGUCAUGCGCUGCGGAGACAGGCCCUCCUGAGCGUUGGCCACGGCGAUUUGCACCUUCACCUGCUCCAUGAUGAGCCCCGGGUCCAGCUUCCCCCCGCCGCCAGCCCCGGAGCUGAAGUCGGAGCCGAAGUCGGAGCCGAAGCCGCUCUCCAUGCCGCUGGCUCAGCGCGGGCCGCACGCUGCCGGCGAAAUG
rnacentral:lncRNA from 1 species